CGCUGACAUGACAGCUUACAUCUUAAGCAAAACAAAAUUAAAAACAAGAAAAAAUAAUGAUAAAAUAGAUUGACCAAAGGUCUUUAUGAAAACAUUGCCGUUCUUAUAAUACAGUGAUAGUCGACGAAGCAUUUAAAAAUAUAUUCCUUCGGUGUUUACAAACCGUCGGGUCAUCAGUCAACGAGUACUCUUCGUUCCGAUCAGUCUCUUACUUGUUGUUACUGCUGUAAAUUUACAAAGCUGUCCAGCUUCGACAACAAUCAAAAUGGCAUCACCAGAUUUUUACAAAGAGGCAAAAUCAAUUCAUGAAUUCACCGCUGUAGACAGCUAUGGAAACGCCAUUUCGUUGGACAAAUAUUAGGGCAAUGUUGUCUAAUCGUCAAUAUAGCGUCCAACUGUGGCC